CUUUGAAAUUUUCAGCAAACAGUGAGCAGUUGUCCAUUAGAAUAAUAUUUGGGAUCCUCUUCUGGGGUCACCCCUCACUCCUUUUGUCACGUGGCAGGUGGUGAUUGGAGGAGCAGGAAAAAAAAGAAAAAAAAAAAAGAAAAUGUAACCAAUGAGAGAAAGAAGAGGUCAAAGAGGAUGAGUGGAAAAGGGGAUGAAUCAUUGUUGUGUCCAUUAUUCCAGGACACUAUAAAAACAGUGGAUGCGCUUAUACGUUGUGCUUGUCCAUUAUCCUUUGGAAUUUUCAGCAGCUGUCUUAAGGCAACUACUAUUUUUUCUCUUUGUCAUCUUCUUUUUCAUCAAACCCAGCUCUCUCUUUCUCUUUGUCCAUCAUCCCUCUCUUCUUGGCCACGUCAUUCUGAACCGAACGCAACUGUGUCGGAUUUCCUCCAUGUUUUCCUGGUAAAGUGAUUGCUCUGAUUCAUGGGGUUGAUUGACCUCUCCAUCUCCUUUGUGGCCUGCAAUACCAUUUAUCUUGGUGCUCCCAUAGUCAUUAUUCCGAUUUUGGGUGGUUUUCGAAGGUCCAACAUGAUUAUCAGCGUCUGAAUGCGGUCGAGAUGAUGUUGGUUUCGAGGUAUUUAUCUUCUAAAUUCGUUUCAGAAAUUUACAUAAAUUUGUGAAAUAUGGGUUUAUUUGUUCUUGACUGAAAUUUGAGUUGAUUUGUUCUAAAUUCAUUAUGAAAUUUGUGAUUUGUUCUUAACUAAAAUUUGUGAAAUUUAUGGAACUAGUUCUUGAAUGAUCA